rnacentral:lncRNA from 1 species
GGGUAAGCUAGGUUUCAAAAGAAUACAAGUUAUCAAAUAACUUAUAAGAAAUUGCCAUCAUACAAGUAAUCAAAUGAAAAUCCUAUCAUGUUGUGACACAGCUAGACUUGUCCGGACUUAGAAUGAAUAUCGAUUUGGGGCAGAUUGUGCACUUGUGGUGGCCUCUACUGCCUUCCAAGGCCAUUGCCAAUGGGUUUCACCAUACCACAUACAAGGUUAGUCCAUUACCAUGCAAUAGGCCUCCAAGAAGCGCCUACACUAGGACCUCCCACUACUCUCAC